GUUGAAGAACGUAGCGAAAUGCGAUACUUGGUGUGAAUUGCAGAAUCCCGUGAACCAUCGAGUCUUUGAACGCAAGUUGCGCCUCAAGCCAUUAGGUUGAGGGCACGUCUGCCUGGGCGUCACAUAUCGUUGCCUGAUGCCAGUUUCCUCGUGAUGGGUGACUGUGCAGGGCGAAUGAUGGCUUCCCGUGAGCAUUGUUGCCUCAUGGUUGGUUGAAAAUUGAGUCCUUGGUAGGGAGCGCCGUGAUAGAUGGUGGUUGAGUGACGAACGAGACCCAAUCAUGUGAGACCCCUACCGAAUUUGGCCUUCAUGACCCACAUGCGUCUUUGGAACGCUCAUGACGAGACCUCAGGUCAGGCGGGGCUACCCGCUGAGUUUAAGCAUAUCAAUAAGCGGAGGA
rnacentral:misc_RNA from 1 species